CAAAGUGUAUUCCUUCAUGUUGCUGUGUCAACAGUUUUGUUAUAUUUUUGCCUUAUGUUUUGCCUCUUAUCUCUUGCUCGAAAAUGGGAUGCCGCCGGAUUUUCAACAAAUAUCAAGAUAUGUUCCUUACAUUACGACGUAUUGUUCAGGACUUUGGAUGCUCUGUUUUGCAGGUGAUCUCAUUACUUCUUGGUCACUGGAAAUUACAGAUCAAGUAUUUUACGAUGACUGGCUUCUACCCAGUACAUAUCAAAAUAUAAUGGAUAAAAUCGUAAUAAUACAAAGAAGUCAACGUUCUGCCGGUAUAACACUGGGGGGUUUUCGAAAUCUGGAUUUGCAAAACUUUACAGUGGUUAUGAAAAGUGCAGCAUGGUUUUUUACUUUUGUAAAUACAAUGAUAAAUAAAUGAAUCUAGGGUAAAUAUUUCCGUAUCUAGACGACGGUAGAUUUUGGUUAUGUAUAUAUAAUCGAUAAUGUUCUGUAGCCGUAGAAAAUCCAAAAUAAAUUUUCUUGCAUUUCCCACUGUAAACAAA